CACAGAGCUCUGCUGUUGACGACACUUUGCUCUGCGGUUUUUGAACCAAACCUGUGAAAUGAUAUCAAAGCGACACAUGCUUAGACUGCUCAGAAACCAGCCCAAAGUCCUUCAUUGUGAUACAGAAAGUGAUGAAGGGAAUUUGAUCUGAAACAAAGUAACUGAGAAAUGAAGGAGUGUGAACAGUUUCCUCUGAGAGAAUUAAUGUGUUUUUAUCUGAAAUCUGUCGUCUCUGAGCGGACGCUCUCAUCAGAACCGGCCCAAACACCGUCAGCGGAGGCGAGUAAGACUCUCUGAUCCUGCUGCUGCCCGAUUGUCUCUCGUCCCGCUGCGCUGGCGCCGCCAGAGAGACUCGAGUGAGAUCAGACGGUGAUUGUGCCAGCGUAGCGUCUUUCCUCUUCAUCUGUCUCUGUACGGCUGCUGUGAGUAUGUGCUGGACCUCUGUCUCACUACACACUAACAUAGAAAACAGAAACUGUACUGAUAUACAUGUUUGUCAGGUUAAGUGUGAAGUGGAUUAGUUAUAUGUUCACAUAAUUGCUUUUGUACAGACUGAGCCAAAAUCACAAUAACAGGAUCAACACUGACCUCUGUGUGUGAUUGAUCAGUACUGCAGUCUGAGGGAACCAAAACAAGAACUCUUUAAAUAUGAAAUGAUAGUGAAAAAAGUCUAAUUUUCUGAAAUGCAACAGUUUAUUGAACCUUUAGACAAAAUAUCAAAAAUAAAAUAAAGGUUUGCAUAUGUGAUUUUUGUUGAGGAUCAUAAGAGACUAUAGAAAUUGGCAUAUCAGAUACACUAAAGUAGGAUUUAUAGGCAGAUUAAUGCCAUCUGGUGGGAGAAGAAAAUCAUAUUAUGUAAUACCAUGGUGUGUGUGUGUGUGUG